rnacentral:tRNA from 2 species
GGGCUCGUGGUCUAGCAGGUUAUGACACUGCCCUUACAAGGCAGAGGUCGGGAGUUCGAAUCUCCUCGAGCCCA